rnacentral:lncRNA from 1 species
CAUUGAAUGGAAUUGGUGUCAUUUUGUAUCGGAUACAAUAUAUUAAUAAAAUUAAACCAUAAAUUGUUAACAGGUCUGGUGGUAUUCCUUUUCACUAGUAAGUGAGAGGUCUUAAAUUCGAUUUUUGCCAAAGACAAAUUUGAACAACAUUAUUGCUAACCUAUUGUGAGACUAAGCCCACCCCCUCCUCUUACUGUAGAUAAUAUUGAUUG